rnacentral:rRNA from 1 species
AGUGAACGCUGGCGGUAGGCCUAACACAUGCAAGUCGAACGGCCGCACAGUAAGAGCUUGCUCUUACGGGUGGCGAGUGGCGGACGGGUGAGGAAUACAUCGGAAUCUACUUUUUCGUGGGGGAUAACGUAGGGAAACUUACGCUAAUACCGCAUACGACCUACGGGUGAAAGCAGGGGAUCUUCGGACCUUGCGCGUUUGAAUGAGCCGAUGUCGGAUUAGCUAGUUGGCGGGGUAAAGGCCCACCAAGGCGACGAUCCGUAGCUGGUCUGAGAGGAUGAUCGGCCACACUGGAACUGAGACACGGUCCAGACUCCUACGGGAGGCAGCAGUGGGGAAUAUUGGACAAUGGGCGCAAGCCUGAUCCAGCCAUGCCGCGUGGGUGAAGAAGGCCUUCGGAUUGUAAAGCCCUGUUGUUGGGAAAGAAAAGCAGCAGGAUAAUACCCCGCUGUUCUGACGGUACCCAAAGAAUAAGCACCGGCUAACUUCGUG